GUGAAUCAUCGAAUCUUUGAACGCAUAUGGCACCUUUUGGUUUUUACUAAAAGGUAUGCCUGUUUGAGAAUCAUUUUAUUCUUUUGAUCCAUUUGAUCCAAGUCAUUCAUUUGAUUUGUUGAUCUCUUUUGGAUCGACAUUGGACUUUUAUCAUUAAUCGUCCUGAAUUCAUACACGGAUUGUUCGUGAUAAAGGGAGUGCUUGCACUUGUUAUAUCCAUCGAUCAAUCAUCCACCUUUAUUAAUGAUCUCAAAUCAGGCAAGACUACCCGCUGAACUUAAGCAUAUCAAUAAGCGGAGG
rnacentral:misc_RNA from 1 species